ACAACACAGACUCAGGGCACAUGACUACACCCACACAUUUGUAAACCAGAAAAGAAUAAAUUAGUAAGACUAAAACAACAACAACAGCAUGUUGGGACAUAACACUACACUUCUUCAGGAGUAAAGACCAAGUCGCCUGUACUUGAUGGCCCCGCCCACGAUGGGGUAUCCUGAUGAAUAUUCACAUUUUUCCACAUGAAACCGCAGAACUUUGGAAGCACGUCAUACUGUAUUCCACAGAAAGGGCAAUACAUAUUUAUUCUCACUGAACUACUUUCAGAACAUAUCCGUACUUUCUACCACUAGCCUGCCGUACUUCCU